rnacentral:sRNA from 1 species
UGUGUGUCAGAUGCAAGCAUGGAGGUGUGAGUCAGAUGCAAGCGUGGAGGUGUGUGUCAGAUGCAAGCAUGGAGGUGUGUGUGUCAGAUGCAAGCAUGGAGGUGUGUGUCAGAUGCAAGCAUGGAGGUGUGUGUCAGAUGCAAGCGUGGAGGUGUGUGAGUUGAAUGCAAGCAUGGAGGUGUGAGUCAGAUGCAAGCGUGGAGGUGUGUGUGUCAGAUGCAAGCAUGGAGGU